CUUCUCUGAAAGGGGACUCCAGUGUUAUACCUCGGUUCUGAUCACUGUGAACUUCAACUGAACUGCCAACUUGUGAAAUCGGGGCUUGCCCCCUGUGAAACAAGCCAAGGCAAAGGUCUGUUAUUAUCAUCACUAGGAAGAUUCUUAAGUCAAUUCUGAGCUCAGGGAAAACAGAAGGAAUGGAGGACACCAGGAGAACAAGGCCUUCAAAAACAACUGUGCAAAGCUCAUGAACUGUCAGAGUCUGAAAAAGCAUGCACUGGGCCAGCACAGUUCUGCACCAGGCCCCCUGCAUAUAUACUGUAGCUUUCAGAAGCAACCAGAAAUGCUCAUCAAGUAUCUGGGGGUACUCAGGAAAUGCAGGACUCCGAGAAGAAGGGAAACAGGUGUGGUGUGCUCAACUGUGAUCCCAGCUACCCUGGAGUUGAGGAAGGAAGAGUCUUAGCUCCAGACCAGCAUUGGCUACAACACAGGUUCCGGCACAGCCUAGGAAACUUAUCAGGACUGUAUCUCAAUAUAAAACAUUUCUGAAUAAAAAAUGGUGAUGCAGCUCA
rnacentral:lncRNA from 1 species